rnacentral:lncRNA from 1 species
GUCAUUCAUACAUUACCAAAUAACAACAUUUAGACAAAAAUUUCUCAUUCAAUAUACAAAAAUCAGAUUAGAUAAAAGUGAAAUAAAAAAUAUAAAAUAAUAGCAUAAAACAAUAUAAAAAAUAUUUAAAGAAAAAGAAAAAAUGGAGGAGAUGAGAUAUUAGAUAAGAUGAAAAAGAAAGAACAUAAGAGAUGAGAGAAAUGUGUGAUAAAAAUAUAAUUAGAAGAGAAAACAAUAACAUAAAAAUGAGAAGAUGAAAAAGAACGAACAUAAGAGAAAAAAGAUUAUAGUAGAAGAGGUGCGA